GAAGAGAGAGUUCAAGAGUACGUGAAACUGCUCAGAAGCAAACGGGUGGGCACUCGAAAUCCCACUGCGGAGGGAUUCAGUCGGGAGCGGCGGCGACGUUGCCGACCGGUCGGACCCUUUUAGCGAAGGCCGGCCGCCGGAUCGAUCUCUCCCCUCGCCCGACGCACUUCCUUCCGCACGGCGGACGCCGCAACCGGUCGGGUAGCUGCGAGAGUCGGCCGUGAGGACGAGCGACGGCAGGUGGCCGUGGACUUUGCCCCGGCAUCGUUCGCGGUCGUUAGCCGGCUCGCCCGUGGCGCGACACCCGACCGAGGUCAUASUUCCCGAUCUGCGGGAACGAGCCGCGCCCCGCUUUAAGCGGCGGUACCCCGGACACGCGAUCGGCCGCGCUGCCGCGUCACUCUCAGUAGUGGCCGGCUAGCGUCGGGCGCGGCUGGUCCGGCAAAUAACCGCGGGCGGACGCCGGCGGUUGGCGGCGAGUAGGUCGGUCACCCACCCGACCCGUCUUGAAACACGGACCAAGGAGUCUAACAUGUGCGCGAGUCGCCGGGUCUUGAACAGGCCCGCGGGCGCAGUGAAAGCGAAGGUCGGCCUCCGCGCCGAACGAGUUGGGACUCCCCGUUUCGGACUCUCCGCUCGCGGGGAAGAAGCGCGGGGAAGCACCAACGACCCGUCCGAUCCGGCAUCGCCGGCCGGGCGGAGUCUGAGCGCACACGUUGGGACCCGAAAGAUGGUGAACUAUGCGUGGGCAGAACGAAGCCAGAGGAAACUGUGGUGGAGGUUCGCAG
rnacentral:rRNA from 1 species